AGUUUGAUCCUGGCUCAGAACGAACGCUGGCGGCGUGCCUAACACAUGCAAGUCGUACGAGAAAUCCUGGGCAACUGGGAAAGUAAAGUGGCGCACGGGUGAGUAACGCGUGGGUAACCUACCCUUGGAUUUGGGAUAACUCCGCGAAAGCGGGGUUAAUACCGGAUGAUAUUCCGAUUCUUAAGGGGAUCGGAAUCAAAGGUGGCCUCUGCAUGCAAGCUAUCAUCUGAGGAUGGGCCCGCGUACCAUUAGCUAGUUGGUAGGGUAAUGGCCUACCAAGGCAACGAUGGUUAGCUGGUCUUAGAGGAUGGCCAGCCACACUGGAACUGAGACACGGUCCAGACUCCUACGGGAGGCAGCAGUGGGGAAUCUUGCGCAAUGGGGGAAACCCUGACGCAGCAACGCCGCGUGGGUGAUGAAGGCCUUCGGGUCGUAAAGCCCUGUCAGGUGGGAAGAAACACAUCGGUGCUAAUAUCACCGAUGUUUGACGGUACCGCCGGA
rnacentral:rRNA from 1 species